GAUCAUGGCUCAGAUUGAACGCUGGCGGCAGGCUUAACACAUGCAAGUCGAACGGUAACAUAAAGGAGCUUGCUUCUUUGAUGACGAGUGGCGGACGGGUGAGUAAUGCUUGGGAAUCUAGCUUAUGGAGGGGGAUAACUACGGGAAACUGUAGCUAAUACCGCGUAGAAUCGAGAGAUGAAAGUGUGGGACCUUUGGGCCACAUGCCAUAGGAUGAGCCCAAGUGGGAUUAGGUAG
rnacentral:rRNA from 1 species